rnacentral:rRNA from 1 species
UACGGGGGGUGCAAGCGUUAAUCGGAAUUACUGGGCGUAAAGCGUGCGUAGACGGUCGUGCAAGUCGGGUGUGAAAGCCCCGGGCUCAACCUGGGAAUUGCAUUCGAGACUGCUCGGCUAGGGUGCGGAAGAGGGAAGCGGAAUUUCCGGUGUAGCGGUGAAAUGCGUAGAUAUCGGAAGGAACACCAGUGGCGAAAGCGGCUUCCUGGUCCGACACCGACGUUCAGGCACGAAAGCGUGGGGAGCAAACAGG